GUGUAAUAAUGAAACGAGACAUUUCGUUGACAUCAGCUAGGGUGAAACGCAGCAAGCUUUGGGAACCCAGAUGAGCUUCGGCAUCUUCAGGAGCAAGCUUCCCACUUACCACAGAGAACCACGAAGACGAAACUCCCAGUCACUCCCUAUCAGAUUCGGCUUCGAGAGCAAGCUUCCCCACAGACAACCACGAAGACAAAACACGAAGACAGGUUAUUCUCAUUUACUGGUUCGCAUCUUCUUCUCAUCUUCUUCAUCUUCGCUAUUUUCUGACCAACCCGUGCCCCAUUGGUAGUGUUUCUUCAACCAAUGAUUUCUUCGCAUGCCCUAAACCGAAUUGAAAUCUCUCAUUUGUCGUGUUUCUUGAACACACGAUUUCGAAAUGUCCAAAAUCAACAAGCAUCAAUUGCCCCUAAUUUCGAAAUUUGGAAACCCUAACCCUAAAUCUCAACAAUGGCAAAGAUUUGGACCUUCACGAAAAUAUUUGUUAAUGCAUGAAGAGAAAAGCAAUAAAUAGAGGUACCUGAGAAGUAUUCGAUGAAAUGCCUCAAAGAGCUUUCACUUUUCAUAGUGUCACAUUUGGACUUAUAUUUCAAUGAGUCUGUUUCGAGCUUCCCUUUUUACAAGCAUUUGUAGACUUGCACAAGUGUUUAAUUUGUAGCCAUGUGGUUUACACAUAACUAUCUGAAAGUACACGAUUCUGGGGGUAUUUUGCUACUUAUUUUUAUUUAUACACUCUUAUGUCUUUUGUAUCCUUGUCAAUAUUAUAUAUGAAGGUUUUUAACAAAUAAACUUUGAGUGGAAAAGCAGAGGAUUUUUUUUUUUUCGUUUGUAAGAUGAAUAUUUGAAUAUGGCCAGACCCGCCAUUAGUGCAAAGUUUCUUGCUUUUGAACAAAUGUGUUGUCACUUAGUGCCUCCUUUUAAUUGGGAAUUUACGUACUUAGAAACCAUUUAUGUUCGCAGUUGCAGACCUUUUUGGAAUUUUAGCA